rnacentral:lncRNA from 1 species
UGAAUGUCUCACGAAGGUUUAUUUGAAUAGAGUUACAUCUAGAGUUCUCAUUUCAGUGUACAAACAACUCAGUGCAGUGUUUCUAAUACAAGUCAUAUAAAACUGGAACACACUAAAUGAAUAGUGCACUUGAUAGAAAAAUAAAUUACACUUUAAAUGCUACUGCAAAGUUUUACACAUAUAAAAGGUAAACACAAAAUAGUUAGUGAGACCCUCAUAACCACUUAUCAUAUCCAGAUAAGGAGAUAAAAGGGGCAAAGGAAUCUGUGCUAUAAAAAAAAAUCUCUCUGAAGAGGAGAAAUCCUGACAAGUAACUGAAUGAUCAUCUCAAGCAAUGUGGUGACAUAGGGACUUACAGAUCGUAUCUCUUAGAACUGGGAAGGAAUCAUAGCUCUACCAAUGUGUUAACACAACCCAGUUCAGCUCAGGGCAAAUUUCUAUAAUUCAAACAAAUGUCCUCAUACUAACGCCUAAUAUGUAGGAAAAGUUUCCAACUUUCUUCUGACCACUGAAGAGGUACAGUGUUUAAAUUUUUGAGAGGAUAAAAAGGACAAAUAAUCUAGAAAUGUGUCUUCUUCAGUCUGCAGAAGACCCCAGGUCUCCAAGCAACCACAUGGUCAAGGGCAUGAAUAAUUAAAAGUUGGUGGGAACUCACAAAGACCCUCAGAGCUGAGACACCCACAACAGUGGGAGCUCACAAAGACCCUCAGAGCUGAGACACCCACAACAGUGGGAGCUCACAAAGACCCUCAGAGCUGAGACACCCACAACAGCACCUCGUUCAGCUGCCACAUGUGUGAAUAAGGAUGCAAUGUCCAGAAGUGUUGGCUGCCUCCAAGUGACAGGUAACACUGCAGAACCUAUCUGAGGACCUGCCAGCCUCCCGUUUCACGCAGCCACUCUGCUGCUCUACAAAGUUUCACAUCAGGGGUCAGCGGCUUUGUAAAGGGGACUCCGCAGGAACACAGCUGUGCUGGGGCUGCUGCUGCUGUACUGCGCCAGCAGAGCUGAGUGGGACAGUAUUUACCAUCUCUGGUCCUUUACAGAACAAGACUGCUGACUCCUCUCAAUGACAAGACAAAAACUCUGCUUCUCGAGACUCUUACUUAGAAAAAUAGCAGAUUUUUCUCUCUGUGACUGAUAAAUAAUUCUGCUAACAAGACUUCUGAAGGAAAUCUUCAUUUUGGGGCUUAGCUAAGAGAAGAAGAGGUGCAAGUUUUAGCCAGAAGUGAGAAGCAUAAGAUAACAAGUAGUCCAGAUCCAAGAACCCAAGAACAACUCAGGGCUUUCAUCCUUAAAUCUCCAUAGGAUAUCUGUGAUUGUACAAAGGCAAAGGCUAGAGACAAAUGUUAGGAGACUAUAAGAAAUAUUUUUAAAAGUUUUUUCUUAAAACAAUGUAUAAAUGUUAAGGAAGUAAGCACACAAGGAACAGAAUCAUUCCUCUGUUCAGCAGUGUCUCCUGAAGAGUAGGAAUGAAAUGACCAUGACCUCCUGUGUGUCAAAAGAUGAUGCUACUGACAUGUCACAAAUUAGGUCUCACUGAUUAAUUUACAAGUUCUCAGGCAAAGUCUAGAGCAGGUAACUGAAACCUUCACGUCUUAUUUUAAACCAUCCUGUCAACUCCCACUUCCCCUAUCAGGGCUAUGAAAUGGACUGAGUUGAGGUUCCUCUCCUGUCUGCCCGCAGGGAGGCAGCACUAUCUGCUCCCCGCCACCCCACCGUGCUCCGUCCGAGGCGUGCACGGCAAACCCUCAGCAGUGCCCCCGGCUGCCCCUUCUCCAACCUCAGCCCAGUCUCACCAGCCUGCUUCUCACCCACUAUCAUCUCCAACCUUUCUCUUUGAACCCAUCAAGGAUGCCGGCACACAUGCCUCUCUCUUCUCAAGAGACAGACAUCUCCCCUUCCCUACCUGCCACAUUCGUAGACCACCUCAGCCCUGCCUCUCCCCACCACACUGUUCUCAGGGGAGCAGAACAGGAAGAGCUGUUACAGCAGCUCUGCGCAUGGCAGCAGCAGCAGCUAUGACAGGAAACCAAUCCCCAACACGCAUUUAAUCUGUCGGGGCCAAUUCAGCAUUCAAGUAUGAACUUCCGUGUUUGCCACUUCAUGUCAGGGCAUGAGACAAAGUUUCCUCUGAGCUUGAAAUUCAAGUGAAUUUUAACAAAGUCCCUACCAAUAUUCUAACUGUCAAGAAUACAGGUAUCCAACGACAUAAAGGUCACAGACUAUGUCCAACUACCUAAUUCCUAAUUUUAGGAAGUUUAAAAUAAGGAUGUUGUCACCUCCUGAACUGGAUGGGAGAUUUAGGUCUUCCAAGGCAUAAUGCCUCAGCUGCUCUGUGGUGAGCAGCACAACGGUAACCCUGUAGGACAUCUACGGUUGCCAAGACACUGAAAAUUUGAUGCUCAUUCCAUCAUGUCCUGGGUCAAGCCCCUGGUUCUAGGUGUCACCUUCAGCUUUGAGAAAAUAUGUCCUAUAAUUAAGAACUGGCAAGAGCCCCACCAGUGAAACUCAGAAGCUGUUUUUAGCAUAAUGGCUAAGGGGAGGCAGCCAGCAAGAAGUGUUGACUUUCCUUCUGCAAAAAUGUUUUGUGCAAACGUGGGUUCCAAUCACUACAGCUCCCUGGGAAACAGUGCAAGAUUAAAAUUCCUGAGCUUUCCAGUCAGACACUAGUGUGCGUUUGCCUGGACACACGAUUAUGUUAUAAGGAGCCCAGGAAAGUCCAAUCCAUGAAGUUUUAAGGAUCUAAGACUGGAUGUUCUUUUAUGCUAAGCAGUACAAAUUAGUGCUUAAUUAUAUACAUAUUGCAGGACAGAAAACUAGAAAGCAAAUUCCAGGAGGUAUAGCUUAAGAUCAGUUCUCCAUAACGAGGGAUUAACAACUUUACCAAUAUGGUUUCCACAUCAUCCUUCUUCCCCAUGGCAACCGAGGUUUACCUUGUUCAUUCGAAAAUUAUAAAGCUAAAUAGCGUUAUUUCUGGGUAUUAGAAUUACAGAUGGACAUUGCUAUACUUUAUUUUUCUGUGAUGAGUAUAUAUUAUUUUAACAUCCAGAAUUUCUUUGUACAGGCCCAAAGGGAUGGGGAAGUUUUAGAGAUCUCUUUUAAACUAACACAGAAUUCCUAGUGCAAUGCAGGUUCUUUCGGUAUAUGCUGUGUAUAGCUUCAUACAUGGUAGGUAUUUAAGAAACAACAUCCCUUCACCCCUGUUCCUAUUGCCUAUUUUGGUCUUGGUGUAUUUGUUUUGUUUCAUUUUUUUUUCCAGUUUGAAAGCUCUAAAUUUAUUCAGCUUAUACUGAAAGGAAAUGAAGUCUAUGUCCAAAUAGGAAACAAUGUGGAGUACUGCUGUGCUGUGCCUUCAUUACCUGAGACUACAGCAGCCUGCAUUCUCCACCGGGCUCGGAGGAGUGCAGAUGCCUGAGCUAUGCAGUGUGAUUCAACAAUUCCAGUUGGACGGAAAAUACAGCUGUCUUUUUUACGGAGUUGAAGUCAAAUCUACGUGCAGCUUUUUUUACCUACAAAUAAUGGACAAGCUCCUGAAUCCAACAUAUUCUAGCUGAAACGGAUCCCAGGACGGAAUGCUGGAGAGAUGCGUAUUCCAGCUACAGGCCCUCAGAGCUCAGUGGUCAGUAAAC